UCAAACUUGGUCAUUUAGAGGAAGUAAAAGUCGUAACAAGGUUUCCGUAGGUGAACCUGCGGAAGGAUCAUUACAAAUUAUGGCGAACCUCGCGUUUCGUGAGGUUUUUGCGUCCAUUUUUCAUAUUUAAAACAUCCCACUCUUAAAAAAAUAUUUAUUUUUGAUAAAAUAAAAAAGAUCACUUUCAACAACGGAUCUCUUGGCUCUCAGAUGUGUAUAAGAGACAGUCAAACUUGGUCAUUUAGAGGAAGUAAAAGUCGUAACAAGGUUUCCGUAGGUGAACCUGCGGAAGGAUCAUUACAAAUUAUGGCGAACCUCGCGUUUCGUGAGGUUUUUGCGUCCAUUUUUCAUAUUUAAAACAUCCCACUCUUAAAAAAAUAUUUAUUUUUGAUAAAAUAAAAAAGAUCACUUUCAACAACGGAUCUCUUGGCUCUCGCAUCGAUGAAGAACGCAGC
rnacentral:misc_RNA from 1 species